rnacentral:rRNA from 1 species
AAUAGAUACCCCGGUAGUCCAUGCCGUAAACGUUGGGCACUAGGUGUGGGGCCAGUUCCACUGGUUCUGUGCCGCAGCUAACGCAUUAAGUGCCCCGCCUGGGGAGUACGGCCGCAAGGCUAAAACUCAAAGGAAUUGACGGGGGCCCGCACAAGCGGCGGAGCAUGCGGAUUAAUUCGAUGCAACGCGAAGAACCUUACCAAGGCUUGACAUGUACGAGAAAGCCCCAGAGAUGGGGUUCUCUUUGGACACUCGUACACAGGUGGUGCAUGGUUGUCGUCAGCUCGUGUCGUGAGAUGUUGGGUUAAGUCCCGCAACGAGCGCAACCCUUAUCCUAUGUUGCCAGCGGGUUAUGCCGGGGACUCAUGGGAGACUGCCGGGGUCAACUCGGAGGAAGGUGGGGAUGACGUCAAAUCAUCAUGCCCCUUAUGUCUUGGGCUUCACGCAUGCUACAAUGGCCGGUACAGAGGGCUGCGAUACCGUGAGGUGGAGCGAAUCCCAAAAAGCCGGUCUCAGUUCGGAUCGGGGUCUGCUAACCG